rnacentral:lncRNA from 1 species
AUCAACGUAUCGAAUAAUAAAGGUAGAGAAGGUAUAGAGUCAAUCAUAAACAAGCAUUGCAAGAGAAACUAGUUGAACCAACUAAAAACAUAAUAAGAUCAGGAUAAAUUAAAAGAAACAUCAAACAAAAUCACCAUAAAGUAACAACUAUCCAAGUCAUGUUUAUGUUUUAUUUAAGUUUUUGCACGAAACUGUUACAACAUAUAUCCACUAAGGACAGAGAGGAUCCCCAACUACCACUUUGAAUGACACAUUAGUUGCACUCCCAUAUUGGGUUAGUUCUAUAUCCAUUUAGGUCAGCUCCAUAUCUAUAUUGGGUCAAUUCCAUUUCCAUAUUGGGUCAAUUCUAUAUCC